AUGUGUGCUAUAAAGCACAGCGAGGAUAGCAUCGAAAAACUGGAACUCCCAAAUGCCUGCCCAAAGUUGCAUAACUCUGCCGGUGACUGCGUUUGUGUGUCCACGUGGGAGGCUGGUCACACGCCUGGAAGUGUCCCCUGGGCUCUAGGGGACAUGCCCUGCCUGAGCACGGUGCUUGCUGAAAACUGGAACUCAAGGGUCAUCUCACUGAGCUCUGCUUUGCUGCAAGGUCAUAGGGAACCUGGCAGGAUUUAGGAAAUGGAAUAAUGAAAGCUGAAAAUCUGAUUAAAAUAUUAAUGAAUUGCUUCAUCUCGGUACUUAAAUACAUGUCAAAGUUCUGCAGAUACCACCAGCACUGCUUACAAGCUGAGGACCCAUGAGCAAACCAGGCCCUGUACACACAGAUGUAUGCACAAACGUGACUUUCAUGUCUUGGCAUAGGUUUCCACUAACUGCAUUCACAGCAUCUAAAAGGUUGAAUUAUAAAAUAUCAUCUAGAAUAUCUCAAGAAGUAGCAUUUUUGACUUUUGUAGGCCUGUCAUUUUCUUCUGGCUAGACUGGUGUAUGCCAAGAGGGACAUCUUCUAUUUGCAUUAGCAAAUCACUCCCACUGCCUCCGGCAAUCAUUCCUCUCAUUUUUGCUCUUUAUACAUUUGAAUACUUCUGAGCUGUCAUUUUAUUUUCGAUAACUUUUUAUUUUUUUUCUUCUAGAGAAGCCAACACCAUUCAAUUAUAAAACAAACAAACAAAAAACCACCACCAGCAACAAAAAAACACAAGCUCAAUUGUAUGUUCAAUAAGUUUGGGUUUUAUUCCCCCCCCUUUUUUUUUCAUUUUUUUAAAUAUAUGAAAAAAGUUUGAAAACUUCUGUCUAGUAUGAAAUGUUUAUAGUUUCAGACUGCAACUGUAUUUCAAGCAAAUUCUCUUGCAAAUACUAUGUGUCUUACAACAGCAGUGCAAUUCAUUGUUUAGAAAUUGAUCGUCUGAUUACAGGCGAGCUUUGAAAGCUUUCACAUAUAGUGCUUUUAUUAUAAGCUUAUUAAUAGCUUUAGAUACAGAGCUCAGAUUUAUAUUGAGGCGUCUUCUGUAUGCCUGGCUAAUGAGCAUUGUAUAAAUAACACUGGUGCAUAGCCCUGAAAAAAUCCUUUCUAAUGCUUGGCUCAAGGUGUUAAUUGCAAAGAACAUUGGAAAUUCAAAGGCAAAUAAAAUAAGUGUUAUUUGUGCCA
rnacentral:lncRNA from 1 species